GAUGAACGCUGGCGGCGUGCCUAAUACAUGCAAGUCGAGCGAACGGACGAGAAGCUUGCUUCUCUGAUGUUAGCGGCGGACGGGUGAGUAACACGUGGAUAACCUACCUAUAAGACUGGGAUAACUUCGGGAAACCGGAGCUAAUACCGGAUAAUAUUUUGAACCGCAUGGUUCAAAAGUGAAAGACGGUCUUGCUGUCACUUAUAGAUGGAUCCGCGCUGCAUUAGCUAGUUGGUAAGGUAACGGCUUACCAAGGCAACGAUGCAUAGCCGACCUGAGAGGGUGAUCGGCCACACUGGAACUGAGACACGGUCCAGACUCCGACGGGAGGCAGCAGUAGGGAAUCUUCCGCAAUGGGCGAAAGCCUGACGGAGCAACGCCGCGUGAGUGAUGAAGGUCUUCGGAUCGUAAAACGCUGUUAUUAGGGAAGAACAUAUGUGUAAGUAACUGUGCACAUCUUGACGGUACCUAAUCAGAAAGCCACGGCUAACUACGU
rnacentral:rRNA from 1 species